rnacentral:tRNA from 1 species
AGCUCAAUUGGUAGAGCUCCGGUCUCCAAAACCGGCGGUUGCAGGUUCAAGUCCUGCC